rnacentral:tRNA from 1 species
GCCUAGGUGGCUCAGUCGUUUGAGCGUCCGACUUUGGCUCAGGUUGUGAUCUCACGGUUUGUUCGUGAGUUCAAGUCCCACAAUGGGCU